rnacentral:rRNA from 1 species
UACGGGGGGGGCAAGCGUUGUUCGGAAUUACUGGGCGUAAAGGGCUCGUAGGCGGCCAACUAAGUCAGACGUGAAAUCCCUCGGCUUAACCGGGGAACUGCGUCUGAUACUGGAUGGCUUGAGUUUGGGAGAGGGAUGCGGAAUUCCAGGUGUAGCGGUGAAAUGCGUAGAUAUCUGGAGGAACACCGGUGGCGGAAGGCGGUUCUCUGGGCCUUACCUGACGCUGAGGAGCGAAAGCGUGGGAGCGAACAGGAUGAGAA